GGGGGAAGUGGGCGGAGCGAGGCCUGGGUAGGGUGAGCGGCCUCCGAAGCGGAGCGGGGCUCUGAGGAGACACUUUUUCUUCCUCCCUCCUUCCCUCCUCUCCUCCUGCCUUCCCUUCCCCUUUCCUCCCCUCUCUCCUCCUUCUCCCCUCGGUCAGCCGGAGCCUGCUGGGGCGAGCGGUUGGUAUUGCAGGCGCUUACUCUCCGGGGCCGCCCGGCGAGUAGCUGGCCGGGGAAGGAGGCAGGAACCGCGAUGGCGCCUCAGAAGCACGGCGGUGGGGGAGGGGGCGGCUCGGGGCCCAGCGCGGGGUCCGGGGGAGGCGGCUUCGGGGGUUCGGCGGCGACGGCUUCGAGCGGCAAAUCCGGCGGCGGGGGCUGUGGAGGCGGUGGCAGUUACUCGGCCUCCUCCUCCUCCGCGGCGUUACCGGUGAAGAAGUCGAAAAUGGAGCACGUCCAGGCUGACCACGAGCUUUUCCUCCAGGCCUUUGAGAAGCCAACACAGAUCUAUAGAUUUCUUUGAACUCGGAAUCUCAUAGCACCAAUAUUUUUGCACAGAACUCUUACUUACAUGUCUCAUCGAAACUCCAGAACAAACAUCAAAAGGAAAACAUUUAAAGUUGAUGAUAUGUUAUCAAAAGUAGAGAAAAUGAAAGGAGAGCAAGAAUCUCAUAGCUUGUCAGCUCAUUUGCAGCUUACAUUUUUGGUUUCUUCCACAAAAAUGAUAAGCCAUCACCAAACUCAGAAAAUGAACAAAAUUCUGUUACCCUGGAAGUCCUGCUUGUGAAAGUUUGCCACAAAAAAAGAAAGGAUGUAUGUUGUCCAAUAAGGCAAGUUCCCACAGGUAAAAAGCAGGUGCCUUUGAAUCCUGACCUCAAUCAAACAAAACCUGGAAAUUUCCCGUCCCUUGCAGUUUCCAGUAAUGAAUUUGAACCUAGUAACAGCCACAUGGUGAAGUCUUACUCGUUGCUAUUUAGAGUGACUCGUCCAAGAAGAAGAGAGUUUAAUGGAAUGAUUAAUGGAGAAACCAUGAAAAUAUUGAUGUCAGUGAAGAGCUUCCAGCCAGAAGAAAAUGAAAUCGUGAGGAUGGGGAAAAGACAUUUGUUGCACAAAUGACAGUAUUUGAUAAAAACAGGCGCUUACAGCUUUUAGAUGGGGAAUAUGAAGUAGCCAUGCAGGAAAUGGAAGAAUGUCCAAUAAGCAAGAAAAGAGCAACAUGGGAGACUAUUCUUGAUGGGAAGCUAUGGACUAC
rnacentral:lncRNA from 1 species